CACCUACUCUCAUCACAUUUGGAAAAUGGUGGGUAUUCUGCCUAUUUAGGAGAUGGGAGGGAGAGCAAGCCUGGUAGAGGUACCCAUCCCACUCCCAGGUUGCCAGUUGCUUGCAACUGGAAGAUACUCUGUAACAGUA
rnacentral:snoRNA from 1 species